rnacentral:rRNA from 1 species
UAGGGAAUCUUCGGCAAUGGACGAAAGUCUGACCGAGCAACGCCGCGUGAGUGAAGAAGGUUUUCGGAUCGUAAAACUCUGUUGUUAGAGAAGAACAAGGACGUUAGUAACUGAACGUCCCCUGACGGUAUCUAACCAGAAAGCCACGGCUAACUACGUGCCAGCAGCCGCGGUAAUACGUAGGUGGAAAGCGUUGUCCGGAUUUAUUGGGCGUAAAGCGAGCGCAGGCGGUUUCUUAAGUAUGAUGUGAAAGCCCCCGGCUCAACCGGGGAGGGUCAUUGGAAACUGGGCGACUUGAGUGCAGAAGAGGGGAGUGGAAUUCCAUGUGUAGCGGUGAAAUGCGUAGAUAUAUGGAGGAACACCAGUGGCGAAGGCGGCUCUCUGGUCUGUAACUGACGCUGAGGCUAGAAAGCGUGGGGAGCAAACAGG